GCUCUGCCGAAUCACUGCAUUUUUAUAAGCAGCUCAUCUAGUAGCCGCUUCUUGCAUUCUUCUUCUUCUCCUAGGACAGUGCCAUCCAAGUAUCCAACGAACGCAAGAUGGCUCUGGUUGCUCAGGCCUCCACCAUCGCGCAGUUCGCCGGAGUGGACGCCUACGGCCUGAUCAAGAUGAUCGCCGAGGCGGCGCAGACGGUGCGGCGCAACAGGGCGACGUGCCUGCAGCUCGCGCGGCGCCUCAAGAUGAUCGGAGAUCUUCUCAAGCAGCUCCACGGUGCGCAGCUGAUGCAGCAGCCGGAGACGAGGAACCCGGUGGAGCAGCUGGAGGAGACGCUCCGGCGAGCGUACCUGCUCGUCCGGUCAUGCCAGGGCCGGAGCUACGUGUACCGCUGCUUCAUGGGAGGCCGGCACGCCGACGAGCUCAGGGAAGUGCAGAGUGAGAUCGCCUUCUACCUCCAGCUCUUCCCUCUCGUCAGCUAUGUCGAUGCUACACUCAACUGGGUGAGACAUCUGAAUAAAGCCGAUCCAUCCUGCAAAGAGGCACCUUUGGUAAGACCAUAUUUUGUGCCAUUUGUGAUUCUCUCAUGGGAUGGAUCGUGCUUAGCAGUUGUUCAGAAAGUACACCUUGGUAUAGUGUACACAUGGUUAUAUAUCUCUUACCUUAAUAUCUACUCAACUAUCUGCAGAUCUUUCAUGUGUCUGCAGGAGUUAAAUUGUUGCCUAGCUGACAUUUACUUUUUGCGAUAAUUUCAUUCAAACGAUCGAUCGACAGGCAUCUAGCUAGUACACUAAUUCUGAAAGUGCUAGCUAGUACACUAUUGUGAUUCUUUUUUACCAGCUAAGUACUUUUGCCUGUGGAGAAUUUGGCCUAGAGUAAAAGUUCAGGUGUGCACUUGAUCCGAAGUACAAACUGUAAGUCAAUCAUUGAUGUGUCCUGGAUAGGUAUGUUUUGUUAUCUUGUUUUAGCAUGGAAGAACAGACCAGAUCUGAUUACUGUAACUUACCAAACUCUUGGAUAUUCCCUUCUAUCAUCCAAGUUUCUCUCAAGAUCUCUAGUUUGCAUCCAAAGCUUACAUUUCGGUUUAUCAGGAUUAUAAAGUUCCAGGGUCGGCGAGGCAGUUGCCGAUACAGUUGAAUCGGUCCAUGAGCUCUACACCAGUGAGCGACAACGAGUAGGAAGAUAUCUAGAUGCUUAAGUCAUUCAGGUUCCAGAGCUAGAUUUAUCAAUAAUCAUUAUGGAGGUGAAAAGCACCAGCAUGACUCAAGUUCAGCUCGCUUUGACUGUUUAAGUCAAGAGUUAAAAAGGAUACCCAAGAGUUCUUACCUGAAUAGAGAAAAUGUAAAAACCAUGAGUCUAAGUGAAGAGGCUCAAAUCCAUCUCGCUAAAUUCAGGUGGGGAAGCUCUCCGCUCCAGUGAUUUCUCAAAUAAAAAUCUCGUUGAGCUGCUUCAGAUUCAGAGUUAUAUGAGCAGUAGGGCUCUAGUUCUCCUCAAUUUUCUGCUUCAUAUUCAGAGUUAAAUAUUACAAGAUAGUUGAACCAGAAUCCUACCAAAUUUCUGGGUUUUGCCGGGAUACAACUGAUAAUCUCAUGGAAUCAUUGUCAACAUUUUUUGAGCUAUUUUUUGAGUGAGUUCAGAGAUAAUAGCAGUGAUGUUUCUAUGCAUUUUUCUGCAUCAUAUAUGCAGUGAUGUUUCUAUGCAUAUCUCUGCAUCAUAUAUGCAGGAUCGGUUGUCGUUUGAUGUACCUGAGUUUUGAUUGGUUGAAUUCUACCACUAUUCAUUAUAUUCCUUCUUAA